rnacentral:rRNA from 1 species
UACGUAAGGGGCGAGCGUUGCUCGGAAUUACUGGGCGUAAAGGGCGUGUAGGUGGUCAUACAAGUCGAGUGUAAAAAACCACGGCUCAACCGUGGGACUGCAUUCGAAACUGUAUGACUAGAGUCUGGUGGAGGGCGAUAGAAUUCCCGGUGUAGCGGUGAAAUGCGUAGAUAUCGGGAAGAAUACCGAAGGCGAAAGCAGUCGCCUAUGCCAAGACUGACACUGAGGCGCGAAAGCAUGGGGAU